rnacentral:rRNA from 1 species
UUCCAGACUCCUACGGGAGGCAGCAGUGGGGAAUUUUGCGCAAUGCUCGUAAGAGUGACGCAGCGACGCCGCGUGAAUGACGAAGGCCUUCGGGUCGUAAAGUUCUUUCGACAGGGAAGAAAAUGCCUAUAAGUAACUGUGUAUGUAUUGACGGUACCUGUAUAAGCAGCCCCGGCUAACUCCGUGCCAGCAGCCGCGGUAAUACGGAGGAUGCGAGCGUUAUCCGGAUUUAUUGGGUUUAAAGGGUGCGCAGGCGGCACGGCAAGCCGGCGGUCAAAUCGCGGGGCUCAACCCCGCCCAGCCGUCGGAACUGCCGGGCUAGAGUGGGCGAGAAGUGCGCGGAAUGCGUGGUGUAGCGGUGAAAUGCAUAGAUAUCACGCAGAACUCCGAUUGCGAAGGCAGCGCACCGGCGCCCUACUGACGCUCAGGCACGAAAGCGUGGGGAUCGAACAGGAUUAGAUACCCCGGUAGAA